ACGGAGGAUGCAAGCGUUAUCCGGAUUUAUUGGGUUUAAAGGGUGCGUAGGCGGAUUAAUAAGUCAGUGGUGAAAGGCUGCAGCUUAACUGUAGACUUGCCAUUGAUACUGUUUAUCUUGAGUAUGGUUAAGACAGGCGGAAUGUGUAAUGUAGCGGUGAAAUGCUUAGAUAUGACACAGAACACCGAUCGCGAAGGCAGCUUACCAAGCAAUAACUGACGCUCAUGCACGAAAGCGUGGGGAGCAAACAG
rnacentral:rRNA from 1 species